rnacentral:lncRNA from 1 species
AUGAGCCCAGCUGGGCUGGGAGAGGGGAGAUCAGGGCAGGUUGGCAGCCAGUGCGCCAGGGACAGGGAGAACUGCGCAUGCGCAAACGCCGGUGCCAUGGAAACGGGACGCAGAAGGCGGGGCUGCCGGUGGAGUUGCUCGGCUUUCUUCAUUAAGGAGAGAAAAGUUCUUCGCUGUGAUGCAGGAACAGCGGGUUGCUCGGGUUGCUCGGGCGGGCGAGGACAAAAACAGAAUCACACGAAAGAGAGAGGGCAACGCCGCGGAGUCCGUGAAGCCGGGGUGUGGGCUGUCUUGGCGGCCCUUCCGGGCAGCUCGCAGACUUGCAGAUCGACUGGCUUCGUCCGCUCUGCCCAUCGAGGGCCAACACCUGGCCUACACCGGCCCGGAGCGCGCCCCAGUGAGCGGACACCGCCUGGGACAGCCAGCUUCAGCGUAUUCCUGGAGACACAGACAGACGUGAGCUGGCGCGGUAGAAACCGGAUAAAACGGGAAUUAGUGAGUAACUACUUUUUAAAACGUGGCGAUUAAUGCACUGAUACCAACCUCCAAGGAAGUGAUUAGCAGCAACUGAAAGGUCCUGAUGUGAUUACGUCCAAUUCACUUGCCCUGCGCUCGCUCGGAGGCGCGGAAAACAUGCCUCUCAAAUUAGCGAGGGAUCCCCAGGCAGGGGCGGCAGCCUCUCUACUACAGGGGAUCGUUGUCAGAGUCACAUAAUCCAGACACACCGAGAGGAAGCUGUCCUUAGAAAUCCUCUGGAACGAGGGAGAUGGCCCACCACUUUUGCUGUUGAAUUGGAUUUGGUGAUUUUAAAUUGGAUUUCCUCCAUCUCCUUUGAGAAGUAAUUCCGUGAUGGUGGAGCGUAAUUGUAAACUUGAUUGGGGUGGGAGUCACCUAGAGGAUCAGUAAAGCACACUCUGGGUGUCCGGAGGCAUGGGCUAAGCCCCUGGAACACGAGCCAAAUCAAACCUGCCCUCCUUCGAGUUGUGGGUGCCGGGUAUUUUGUCUCAGUGACCUGAGGUGACUGGUAUUGUAUGUGUAGAUGAGCUCUCUUUCCCAGGAAAACUGUUGCCAAAAAUUUCAUAUUUACACAUAUAUAUGUGACAGAAUACAUAGUUAAAAGUUAAGCUAUAGAUUAAACAAGUAAAUUCAAAUUAACAGGAAAAAAGACACAAAGCAGGAUAUAUAUAGAUAUCACUCUCUCAGAGAGAACUAUUAUAUAAUAAAAACGUAUGAUAGUAGAAGAUCAUUAAAUAAAAUGCUACAGCAGAAGCAAAGCUCUCUAUGUAAAUUACUGGACACAUAUGACCUAAGCUCAAUUAUUAAAAGAAAGGUCAUUAAUCAGCUUGGCUUGGAGAAUUAGCUCACAAUUCUCGUGUAUACAAAAACAUCACAUUGUAAUUGUAAAUAUAUGUAGUACUUACUUGUCAGUGGCACGUCAAUAAAUCUGGGGAAAAUCUUCAAAAAAAGAAAAUGUGUAAAAUAGAAUAUAGGUAUGUAAAAGAGAUAAACUAAAAAGUAACAUGAUUCAGAAAUAUUUAAAUUAAAAGAAUAGAAAAAGAAGACUAUGGGACUAUUAAUAAUGUAAAAAGUCAGGAUCAUAAUAUCAGAAAAAGUUGAAUUCUAGAUUUAAAAAAAAGACAAAGACGGCCAUUUUAACGUGCUAGUUGUUCCAUCCCUGGUGACAAUUAACAACAAGGAAUGUUAUACACAAAAUAACAUCAACAAUGUGAAGCAAAAAAUCACUAUAAACAGAAACAAAGAAUCAGUAUUAUAAUUAGCAAUUUUAGAGCAUUUCAAUCUAUGACAGAUCUAGAUUACAUAAGUGGGAACACAGACUUUGAGAUUAAAAACUAAAUUCAUUUUAUUAAGUUAGAUCUAAUUAACAAAUAGCAAACACAUUAAAGCCGUAAUGAGAUUCUGCUUUUGUCAAAGUUCAACACAUUUUGUAACACAGUGAGUUAUCAAGGACCCUCAGCCAGCUGUUCUUGUGCUUUUCCAGGGGAAAUGGAAGUGUGAAUAACUCUUAAGGAGAGCACUUUGGUUACUAUAAAAAUUUAAAGUGUGCAUUCUUACCUAAAAACAUCUUACAUGUUUUUUCACAUCACCUUGACAGUAUGUAAAUACCUUAGUAUUACAGGUUUCAAGAAGCAGAGUUAUUGAUGAAAGAGUAAUACAAAUAUGAAAUUUGUAUUCAUUAGUUCACACUAUAAUAAAUGGGCAAAUAAAUAGAGGGGAUCAGAGGCAUUUUUGUGCAGGAGAGUCCCUAACGCUGAGCAGGUGCUUUGCCCCCUAGGAAGGAGAGGGCAUCCAGCCCAGGCCUUGGGUGGGAUCUGGGUGAGGCAUCCUUCUCCUCGUCCCAGGAGAGAAGCCCAGGACAUCCCAGCCAGGGUGCUGGCCCGGGUGGAUAUGGCCCGGGUCCGCAGUCAUGAGCCGUGUUGCUGGUCUGCCCCCAGAACCCCACGGAGUGGAGUCUGCACAUGGUGAUCUUCUGGAUCAGCCAGAGUCCCAGUCUGGUCCUCAGAAAGUAUCAGAGCCACUCCCCAGAGAAUCAGUCAGCACAGUGCCCAAGCAGUGGCCCCCUGUCCUCCUGAGGCACCACCGUGGGGUGGUCUGAGAAGCUGCCCCAGCCCGGAGGGAGGGUCCUUGGCAGUCAGAAGGGCUGGCAGGGUGGGGGACCCAGGAGGGGCUCAGGGGAAGGCACCAGGCACUGUGGGGUGAGCUUAGGGACAGAGCCGCAUGGGGGGAGACUGACUGACAGGUGCUCUGAGACAGUGCGGAGAAAGUCUGCCAGCUGCAUGGGACUCCGGCCGCCCCACCCGAUUCUUCUGUAUGACAAGGGAUGGGGAUGUAUUUCAGUGUCGAGGCCUUGUAUUUCUAUCACUAUCCUAAACAGAAAGUUCGCUAAAAUGG